ACCAUCAAGAUGCAGAAGAUUAUCACUAUGACCUAUUCAACCUUAACGACGUUCAAAUUCAUUGACAGCAACUGCAAUUCCUUGAGCUGUUUACUGUCCUCAGGCUUGAACAAUUGCAAAUUUAGGAACCAAGUCAUCAAGGUGGAAAUGAUAAAUGACAGAGGCAUGCAACAGUAUGUUGCAAGGACCAAGCAGUAUUAUGGAACAUCCUUGCUAUAUGACUUUACUAAGCUAUUUGAGAUCUUCAAAUAAUUCGGACACCACUGUUGAUCGCAUUCAACUGUUCAUGAGUUCGUAAAUCUUGAACUGAAUCACGUACUCAGAAUUCAUGGAAGAGAUGGUAACGUCAUUAGAUUUGUCUUUGUGGGAUAAAGAUCCGUUGCACAUCCAUAAAAAUCCUGGCCACAAGGAUCAACAGAAAUUGAAAAUUGCAUGGAGAUGAGAUAGCAAAAUGAUGAAAGAUUCCAUGGUGGAAAAAAGGGUCAUGGAGAAUAAAUCAUGAUAUGAUAAUAUAUCGGAAUUGAUUGAAGAACCUUUUUGGUAAGAUUGUCGGAAUCAUAGCAGAGAAUUUACAGAGGCAUCCAUCAAAGAAGUGAUUGAAAUACAACAGCCACACCAUUGUACCCAAAAUGGGGGACUACACCGGUGUCUCUAAACAAAGUUUAUUGGUACUAGGCGCUCAAGCAAUGUAUGUUUGGUGUAAUUCCUCAAGCAUUGAGAUCCAGAACAUCCACCAGGUUAGCCAGCUCCAGUUCGUGGGGGCAACCUUGAUGAGCCCUCUACGUAAAAACUUCAACCUUCGAUUAGAUGGGAUUCCAAAAGAAAGCCCCAUGGGGUGAUUAACCUUGUAACAAAUUGUCGUCCACAGGACCUUCAAACAAGGAAGGUCAACAAAAAUUUCUUAUGUCUUACUCUAAAGCAAUGAGAAAUCCUAAAGAAUUUUGAGGACCGA